GAGUUUGAUCAUGGCUCAGAACGAACGUUAGCGGCGCGCCUAACACAUGCAAGUCACACGAGAAAGGGCUUCGGCCCCGGUACAGUGGCGCACGGGUGAGUAACACGUAGAUCAUCUUCCCUCGAGUGGUGGAUAACUCUCCGAAAGGAGAGCUAAUACAGCAUGAGACCACGGCUUCGUUGAAGCUGCGGCCAAAGCAGGCCUCUACACGUAAGCUUGCGCUUGAGGAUGAGUCUGCGGCCCAUCAGCUAGUUGGUAGGGUAAUGGCCUACCAAGGCUAAGACGGGUAGCUGGUCUGAGAGGAUGAACAGCCACACUGGAACUGAGACACGGUCCAGACUCCUACGGGAGGCAGCAGUGGGGAAUCUUGCGCAAUGGGCGAAAGCCUGACGCAGCGACGCCGCGUGAGCGAUGAAGGCCUUCGGGUUGUAAAGCUCUGUGGGGAGGAAAGAAUAAGGCUUGGCUAAUAUCCAAGCUGAUGACGGUACCUCCUUAGCAAGCACCGGCUAACUCUGUGCCAGCAGCCGCGGUAAGACAGAGGGUGCAAACGUUGUUCGGAAUUACUGGGCGUAAAGCGCGUGUAGGCGGCCCUGCAAGUCGGGUGUGAAAUCCCACGGCUCAACCGUGGAAGUGCACUCGAAACUGCAGGGCUAGAGUCCUGGAGAGGAAGGUGGAAUGCUUGGUGUAGAGGUGAAAUUCGUAGAUAUCAAGCGGAACACCGGUGGCGAAGGCGGCCUUCUGGACAGUGACUGACGCUGAGAGGCGAAAGCGUGGGGAGCAAACAGGAUUAGAUACCCUGGUAGUCCACGCCGUAAACGAUGAGUGCUAGGUGUCACGGGCUUUGACCCUCGU
rnacentral:rRNA from 1 species